UCAGCUCAGUCAAUGGAGCAUGAGAUUCUUAAUCUCAGGGUUGCGGGUUCGAGCCCCACGGGCAAAA